GACGAACGCUGGCGGCGUGCCUAAUACAUGCAAGUUGAGCGCUGAAGGUUGGUACUUGUACCAACUGGAUGAGCAGCGAACGGGUGAGUAACGCGUGGGGAAUCUGCCUUUGAGCGGGGGACAACAUUUGGAAACGAAUGCUAAUACCGCAUAAAAACUUUAAACACAAGUUUUAAGUUUGAAAGAUGCAAUUGCAUCACUCAAAGAUGAUCCCGCGUUGUAUUAGCUAGUUGGUGAGGUAAAGGCUCACCAAGGCGAAGAUACAUAGCCGACCUGAGAGGGUGGUCGGCCACAAUGGGACUGAGACAAGGCCCAAACUCCUACGGGAGGCAGCAGUAGGGAAUCUUCGGCAAUGGACGAAAGUCUGACCGAACAACGCCGCGUGAGUGAAGAAGGUUUUCGGAUCGUAAAACUCUGUUGGUAGAGAAGAACGUUGGUGAGAGUGGAAAGCUCAUCAAGUGACGGUAACUACCCAGAAAGGGACGGCUAACUACGUG
rnacentral:rRNA from 1 species